rnacentral:sRNA from 1 species
AUAUACAGACAGUGACAGAGGAAGGCAUAUAGAAUAAAGAUUCCUGAGUCUUGUGCCCUCGAAGGCACAAGACUCAGGAAUCUUUAUUCUAUAUGCCUUCCUCUGUCACUG